rnacentral:lncRNA from 1 species
UGACAACAAAUAUAAAAUACAAAAGUACAAAAAUUAACAAUAACAAUUACCUGUUUGUUGUAGUGUUGCCUAGAUGCAUGACUUUGUUUGUCCAUGCCUUGACGAAGCAUGUCUUAUGAGGCAUGAUCCAGGUACGGUUGACAUAAUCAAAAAAUAAAGGCCAUGCAGCACAAGCAUACUCAAAACGAUAAACAUAACCACCAAACUUGGACUGGUCGUCACAGUCCAUCACAUCUUGCCAUACUUUCAUCAACCCAUCCCAUGCCUCAGCCUUAUCCACUAACAUCUU